GACUCUACAGCAUAUAAAGAAAUAUACAAAUUCAUACAAUUGCAAGUAUAUUUUUGUUGCUCUGAGUUAAAAGGACCAAAAUUAUGUUCGCUCAGUUAUUUGCCAUCGUCUUCGCUCUGCUGGCUAAAAAUGCGCAUGCAGAAACAUUUGCCUCAAAGCUUUCAACUUUCAAAAAUGAAACGCCUAAUGGUUACAUUGUAACUCAAAUGACAAAAGAUGGUGAAAAUUGUUACUGCCGAGUACCUGGGUCUUCAUCAUCAAGCUCAUCGUUCUUUUCUUCCUCUUCUCCCUCAAUAGCAGCUGAACAAUCUGCUGCUUCUUCAGGAGCCCCUACAGCUGUUAAAGCUGCUUUAGUAGCCACAACUACAGCCACUAGUACAACUACAACUACAACUACAACUACAAC